UUAAGCAUAUCAAUAAGCGGAGGAAAAGAAACUAACAAGGAUUCCCCUAGUAACUGCGAGUGAAGCGGGAAGAGCUCAAAUUUAAAAUCUGGCGUGCCUCCGGUCGUCCGAGUUGUAGUCUGGAGAAGCGUUUUCCGUGUUGGACCGUGUAUAAGUCUCUUGGAACAGGGCGUCAUAGAGGGUGAGAAUCCCGUCUUUGACACGGACUACCAAUGCUUUGUGAUGCGCUCUCAAAGAGUCGAGUUGUUUGGGAAUGCAGCUCAAAAUGGGUGGUAAAUUCCAUCUAAAGCUAAAUAUAGGCGAGAGACCGAUAGCGAACAAGUACCGUGAGGGAAAGAUGAAAAGCACUUUGGAAAGAGAGUUAAACAGUACGUGAAAUUGCUGAAAGGGAAACGCUUGAAGUCAGUCAUGUCUGCCAGGACUCAGCCUUGCUUCUGCUUGGUGCACUUUCUGGUUUGAUGGGCCAACAUCAAUUUUGACCGUUGGAGAAAGGCUUUGGGAAUGUGGCACCUUCGGGUGUGUUAUAGCCCUUUGUCGUAUACAACGGUUGGGAUUGAGGACCGCAGCACGCCUUUAUGGCCGGGGUUCGCCCACGCACGUGCUUAGGAUGUUGGCAUAAUGGCUUUAAGCGACCCGUCUUG
rnacentral:rRNA from 1 species